rnacentral:rRNA from 1 species
UACGGAAGGCAGCAGUGGGGAAUAUUGCACAAUGGGCGAAAGCCUGAUGCAGCUAUGCCGCGUGUAUGAAGAAGGCCUUAGGGUUGUAAAGUACUUUCAUCGGGGAGGAAAAACAAAACUAAUAAUUUUAUUUCUUGACGUUACCCGAAAAAGAAGCACCGGCUAACUCCGUGCCAGCAGCCGCGGUAAUACGGAGGGUGCUAGCGUUAAUCAGAAUUACUGGGCGUAAAGGGCACGCAGGCGGUUAAUUAAGUUGGAUGUGAAAUCCCCGGGCUUAACCUGGGAAUGGCAUUCAAGACUGGUUAGCUAGAGUCUUGUAGAGGGGGUUAGAAGUUCCAUGUGUAGCGGUGAAAUGCGUAGAGAUGUGGAGGAAUACCGGUGGCGAAGGCGGCCCCUGGCAAAGCUGAUGCUCAUGUGCGAAAGCGUGGGGAGCAAACAGGGAUUAGAUACC